rnacentral:hammerhead_ribozyme from 1 species
AUCCAGUUGACGAGUUCAAAAUAGGACGAAAUACGCAUGAUGGAU